CCUACGGGAGGCUGCAGUGGGGAAUAUUGCACAAUGGGGGAAACCCUGAUGCAGCAACGCCGCGUGAGCGAUGAAGGCCUUCGGGUCGUAAAGCUCUGUCCUAAGGGAAGAAUACUGACGGUACCUUAGGAGGAAGCCCCGGCUAACUACGUGCCAGCAGCCGCGGUAAUACGUAGGGGGCUAGCGUUAUCCGGAAUUACUGGGCGUAAAGGGUGCGUAGGCGGCCCUUCAAGUCAGAGGUGAAAGGCUACGGCUCAACUGUAGUAAGCCUUGGAAACUGUAGGGCUUGAGUGCAGGAGAGGAGAGGGGAAUUCCCAGUGUGGGGGUGAAAUGCGUAGAUAUUGGGGGGAACACCAGUUGCGAAGGCGGCUCUCGGGACUGUAACUGCCGCGGGGUCACGAAAGCGUGGGGAGCGAACAGGAUUAGAUACCCGGGUAGGC
rnacentral:rRNA from 1 species